CAUUCUAACCCCCCUACAAGAAAUAUCGCUAACACCAUCAGAGCUCCGCAGUUAAGCAUGCUUAGGCUAGAGUAGUACUGGGAUGGGUGACCUCCUGGGAAGUCCUAGUGUUGCACCCU
rfam:Picea glauca, whole genome shotgun sequence.